GACGAACGCUGGCGGCGUGCUUAACACAUGCAAGUCGAACGGACAGGUCCUGCGUUUGUGGGUUGCUCGAUUGGCGCACGGGUGAGUAACACGUGAGUAACAUGCCCUUGUCUUUGGGGGAACUUCAGGGAAAUGGGGCUAAUACCCGAUAGAAGCUCCUGCUGCAUGGUGGGGGUUGGUAAGUGUCGGCGUUUGUGGCUGUACUCGCAGCUUAUCCGCCUGUUGGUGUGGUAGUGGAUUACCAAGGCUGUGACGGGUAGCCCGCAUGAGAGCGUGACCAGGCACAUUGGGACUGCGGGACGGACCAGUCGCCAACGGGCGGCAGUGGUCGAGAACAUUGCACAAUGGGGCGACGUGUGAGGCGGCGACCUCGCGUGCGGGAUGCCGGGCUUUGGGUUGUAAACCGCUGUCGACGGAGACGAAGCGGGAGUGACGGUAACGGGUAAAGAAGCAACGGCUAACUACGUG
rnacentral:rRNA from 1 species